AGGAAAUGGCGAAUCGGAAUAGUGGGAAGAGGAUUCAACACUGAGCUCAGGAGGACUGAGAUGCAUGAUAAUUACCAGAGGGGUUAUAAUUACAUUCGCAGCAUCAGCCGUAUAUAAUGGUGUUUUGUGUCACACACUUCGGGGAUUAGUUACAUAAAUGUGCCAGUGUGCUAUGAUUUUAUUGAGUCAAUCGGACUGAGGAUUAACCCCAAUAUAAAGAAUUCAGAUGGUGUGGAUAAAGAAAUCUUAGGUACCGCCUCCAACCGGAAAGUGCAGGACAAAGAAUUAAACUCAAGGAGACAGUCUAUGUAAACCAGAUGUUCUCACCACGUUCAACACAUUCAACAGAAUCCCUCCAUUUGUAUCCAGAAGGGCGCCUGCCACACACCCUCUUCAGUUAGCAGGAUAAACAUCUACCCUGUUCUAAGCAGAUGUCCCAGCACACUGAGUCUGCAUGCACAUCUGGGAAACAUCGCUGGCUAACACAUCGUUCCAACUGUGAGCUGCUGGCAGGAGUUCCUGCUACUCAGGCUUUUGGUAUUUAUUGGGAGAGCCCUGAAGAAGGAGUGCAAGGAUGCCCAGAGAGAGGCCUGGAAAAUCCUUUGGAGCUUCACAGCUGGGCUCCCCGCUGCAAGGCUGGCAUCCUAUUUGGGCAGUGAGCCUUAGAUUCUGAUGGAGAUGGAAAGGCUAAGGCCCAGACCCUGUUACUGAAAGACUUCCAGAUUCUUCCAGUAUCCAGCUUCUGUGCUGAUGAGAAUUCAUGAGUCCGUCGUGUCUCCAAAACUUCCAAAAGUGCAGUCAAAUCAAUAAUGCUCAGUCCUGAGUAUGAUGGGUCUCAUUUAAAACUGCUGUCAUUAGGCCUGGGCAGAAGGUACCUAAAUCUUGGACUAGGCUAAGGCUGCAUCAUGAGACGUUAUCUCUAAGCACCAACACUAUACUAUUGAUAUAGAUUAAAUGGGUCUGUCUAACUAACUCUUAGCUUGGAGAAAACGUUAUUUCAUUAUAUAACAGCUAUGGAAAGAGAAUUAAAAUUGGGUUGUCUGGAGCAGUUGAGCAAUUUUUUUUUUUUUAUAGACUUUAAACUGUUCCUGAUGUCUAAAUUCUGAGAUGUAGCUAGGUUUUACAAAGGUCUCCAACUUAACUUCCAACAUUCUCACUACUUCCUCCCAGUUCCUUCCCCCGCAGCCCCAGUGAACCCAGACCGGGCACCACAGUCCAGUCCACUCAGGCUAGUAGUAGCCAUCAUUGGGACUGUCCUUGGAUACUGGCUGGGAGGGGGUCUGCCUCUCUCUUUUGGAUGUGAGUUUGAAGCAGGAAGCCUUACUACGCUCCAGUCAUCUUGUGAUGCCAUCCUGGUGUCUCACGGGAAACAGACCCGAAGAACUGCUUCUUGCGAAUGGAUGGCUUUGGAGACUCUCUUUACCUUCUCCCCCAGAAUCUUACAUUUUGAGCUCCAGGUCCCCAGCUGUUGUUAAUGCAGUGUGGGCUGCUCUUUGGUAUCUGUACCCACAAGCAUGUCAGUGCAAACUGAGUGUCCACAGAUUCUCCUAGUUCAGAGGACCUUUUCACCAAAGCCGCCAUUUAGCGCCUCAGUCCAGGAGACUGUGGCAAGCACAGCCUGCAUCUAAGCGCCCUGGGAAUCCCCAAGCAGGGACUCUGCUGCCACCUUCUCUUUCCUUUCAGAUCGGAGUCAUCUCUUUCUUCCUCUGUUUAACUCCAAGACGACAGCUCAGUCAUUUCUGGAACAACUACAUAAAACUCCAACCAAGAAUCUCCAAAUAAACGACACUGUUCUCCACACACACAGAACAGAGCCUUACAUGGAAAGAGCUUGGCCACUCGAUCAUCCUUAACACUCACCUCCCAUUGCCCCAGUCUCCAAACACCAACCAGCUUGGGACCUUUUCCUGCCUAACCAUAACGCCAUUAAAAUAUUCUCCCAUCGAAAUGGGCAGGUUUUUUUUUUAUCUGAAAAAAUUGUGAACAUCUCCAUGAUUAUAGUAGUCACUUCAGUCUCCUGUGCAUCAUUACAUACAUAAAUACUAAGCCAGAAACAUGAGAUUGUAAACUUUGUCUAAUGCUUUGUGCACUUUAACCAAUAAUAAACAGAAUUGGGGCAAAUUAA